CCUACGGGAGGCAGCAGUAGGGAAUGUUCGGCAAUGGGGGGAACCCUGACCGAGCAACGCCGCGUGAACGAAGAAGGUAUUCGUAAUGUAAAGUUCUGGUAACAGGGAAGAAAGAGAAAUUGGACGGGACCUGAAGAAUAAGCGCCGGCUAACUACGUGCCAGCAGCCGCGGUAAGACGUAGGGAGCGAGCGUUAUCCGGAAUUAUUGGGCGGAAAGGGUGAGUAGAUGGCAUAGUAAGUCUUUUGUAAAAAUGCUGGGCUCAACCCAGUAGGGCAAAAGAUACUGCAAAGCUAGAGUAUGCCAGCGGCAAGUGGAACUACAUGUGUAGCGGUCUACUGCGUACAUAUCUGU
rnacentral:rRNA from 1 species